AAAUUGUUUUAAUUAUUUCAGGUGGAGUAUGCGGCCGUGGAGAACAUCAUUACGCCUAUUGGCCUCGUCGUCGGCUGCGAAGUGGAAUCCUUGCGAGUGUCAGCGCUAAACUGGGACUGCAGGACAGCAUCAACAGGGCUGAAGCUGGCCGAGGUCCAGUGCAUCGACAUUCUGGAUGUGGAUUACCAAUUUCUGUGAAGGUGAAGUGGCUUCGUAUCUGUGGAAGAAUAGAAAGGUUUUUAGUUUCUUUUCAGCCGCCGCCAUCAUCUGGAUUCUGGAGCUGCCGCCGUCCAUCAUCAGGUUCUCUGCUGGGGCCGUCAUUUGCCUGCGUAGCAGCUGCAUUAGCGCUACUGCGGCUGAUUUCCAUAUUGUGUGUUGCAAACGGAUUUCGCAGCCAGUUCUCGCGUCUGACUUGGAGCAAUAUUGAUUGGAUGGCUGUCAGGCUUCUGUUGCUGUUUGGAUUGUGCUCUUCUAUCAUUGCGGCAUACCUUGGCCUGGCCAGCCUUCUUGGAAUGUAUGGGUGCGUUGCGAUCUCACAUGCAAUUGCUACUUGGAGAUCCGCAUGCAGUGCGUUGUUGCUCACAUACCAGGGAGCAUUUGUCAUUGCUCUGAGAGCUUUGUUUUGGAUCGUCUGGAGCUUGGCCAUUUGCAUGUUUGAAGUCAGUGGCCCCCAGACUGGCAUGGCAUACUGCCAUAUUGGGGCAAUCAGCUGCUUAUAGAGGAGGACCUUUGGAGGUAGUGGGAGUUUGCUGUUUCUGCCGAUGAUCCAGUCGAGCUUUUUGAUCCGGGCCCUUGUUUUAGUGACAACAGCCGCUACGUGCUUAUUGAAAUUGAGCUUCGUAUCCAUCUGUAUUCCUAGGUAUGGCAUGACGGGUUUUUUGGCCAGGAGUUGCCCGGCUAACCUUGGAGCUGGAGUGUGUAGCUGCACAGACCAUGAUAAUGCAUCAGCCAGGAGCCGCUCCACAUUUUCGUUGGCUUGUUUUGGACUUGGGGCAGAUACGAGGUAUACUGCGUCAUCAGCGUACGUUGCUAGCAUUUGGGUUGAGUUUGCGUGUCUUGGUGGCUGCGGCAUGUCGGCAGUGUAAAGGUUGUAGAGUACUGGGCCAAGUACGCUUCCUUGCGGCACUCCAGCGGUUAUGUGCUUUAGGCUUGAGGUGAUGUUGUUGCAGCAGACGACUUUGAAGCUUCUGUCUGAGAGAUAGCUGAGAAGACCCUGAUGCCAGACUCUAUCAAAGGCCUCCUGGAUAUCCAUGUACACAGCACUGCAAUGCCGCUGCGCUUCGUAGGAUCUGAGGAUGAAUUGCGUGACUCGUCCGAUUUGCUGUUCCGCUGAGUGCUGACUUCUGAAGCCAAAUUGAUGGUUUGGAAUA